AUUGAACGCUGGCGGCAGGCUUAACACAUGCAAGUCGAGCGAGCGGCGGACGGGUAAGUAAUGUCUGGGAAACUGCCUGAUGGAGGGGGAUAACUACUGGAAACGGUAGCUAAUACCGCAUACAAUCAGAUGUACCCAGAGGGGAUUAGCUAGUAGGUGGGGUAAUGGCUCACCUAGGCGACGAUCCCUAGCUGGUCUGAGAGGAUGACCAGCAACCGGGGAGCGGGGACACUGUCCAGACUCCGACGGGAGACAGCGGUGGGAAAUAUACGGCAAUGAGCGCAAGGCUGAUGCAGUCAUGCGGCGUGUGUGAAGAGGGCCUUCGGGUUGUAAAGCACUUUCAGCGAGGAGGCGUUACUCGCAGAAUAAGCACCGGCUAACUCCGUGCCAGCAGCCGCGGUAAUUC
rnacentral:rRNA from 1 species